UACAGAGGUCUCAAGCGUUGUUCGGAUUCAUUGGGCGUAAAGGGUGCGUAGGCGGCGCGGUAAGUCGGGUGUGAAAUCUCGGGGCUUAACUCCGAAACUGCAUUCGAUACUGCCGUGCUUGAGGACUGGAGAGGAGACUGGAAUUUACGGUGUAGCGGUGAAAUGCGUAGAUAUCGUAAGGAAGACCAGUGGCGAAGGCGGGUCUCUGGGCAUCUCCUGACGCUGAGGCGCGAAAGCGUGGGGAGCAAACGGG
rnacentral:rRNA from 1 species